rnacentral:rRNA from 1 species
ACGGUCUUGCUGUCACUUAUAGAUGGAUCCGCGCUGCAUUAGCUAGUUGGUAAGGUAACGGCUUACCAAGGCAACGAUGCAUAGCCGACCUGAGAGGGUGAUCGGCCACACUGGAACUGAGACACGGUCCAGACUCCUACGGGAGGCAGCAGUAGGGAAUCUUCCGCAAUGGGCGAAAGCCUGACGGAGCAACGCCGCGUGAGUGAUGAAGGUCUUCGGAUCGUAAAACUCUGUUAUUAGGGAAGAACAUAUGUGUAAGUAACUGUGCACAUCUUGACGGUACCUAAUCAGAAAGCCACGGCUAACUACGUGCCAGCAGCCGCGGUAAUACGUAGGUGGCAAGCGUUAUCCGGAAUUAUUGGGCGUAAAGCGCGCGUAGGCGGUUUUUUAAGUCUGAUGUGAAAGCCCACGGCUCAACCGUGGAGGGUCAUUGGAAACUGGAAAACUUGAGUGCAGAAGAGGAAAGUGGAAUUCCAUGUGUAGCGGUGAAAUGCGCAGAGAUAUGGAGGAACACCAGUGGCGAAGGCGACUUUCUGGUCUGUAACUGACGCUGAUGUGCGAAAGCGUGGGGAUCAAACAGGAUUAGAUACCCUGGUA